rnacentral:rRNA from 1 species
UGUAAGCCAGGUCGGUUUCUAUCUUUAUUAAGUUAAAAUAUUUUAGUACGAAAGGACCAAAUAUUUAAUAUAAUAUAUAUUUUGAAUUUUUGAAUAUUAUU